rnacentral:rRNA from 1 species
UACGUAGGGGGCAAGCGUUGUCCGGAUUUACUGGGCGUAAAGGGCGUGCAGGCGGUUUGUUAAGUCUAGGGUGAAAGCUCCCGGCUCAACUGGGAGAGGUCCUUGGAUACUGGCAAACUUGAGGGAGGCAGAGGAGAGUGGAAUUCCCGGUGUAGUGGUGAUAUGCGUAGAUAUCGGGAGGAACACCAGUGGCGAAGGCGGCUCUCUGGGCCUUUCCUGACGCUGAGACGCGAAAGCGUGGGGAGCGAACCGG